rnacentral:rRNA from 1 species
CCGCGUCCCAUUAGCUAGUUGGUAGGGUAAUGGCCUACCAAGGCGACGAUGGGUAGCCGGCCUGAGAGGGUGGCCGGCCACACUGGGACUGAGACACGGCCCAGACUCCUACGGAAGGCAGCAG